CUAAAUCGGGGUGAACAUUCUGAAGAAAGUGGAGUGGAGACUGAGGGGGGGGCAGCCCACAAAACACCUAAUGAGUGUGCUGGAAUUCCACAGGAGAGUCAGAAAAAAUCACUAAAUCGGGGUGAACAUUCUGAAGAAAGUGGAGUGGAGACUGAGGGGGGGGCAGCCCACAAAACACCUAAUGAGUGUGCUGGAAUUCCACAGGACAGUCAGAAAAUAAAAGUUCAGGAAAUGGCAAAACUUAUUGAAAGUGGGUGGAGCCCAGUUAAGACCCAGGAUGAGCAUCAGAAGACAGCACUGACUGAGCAGCACAAAGGGACUGAUGGGAGUGCUGGAAUUUCACAGGAGGAGAGUCAGACAGAAUCACUAAAUCAGGGUAAAGAUUCUGAAGAGAGUGGAGUGGAGACUGAGGGGGGGAACUCUCAACACCCCUCCUCUGGCACUGUCCCAUUCAGCGCUCCUGUGUCUCCACCUGCUGCUCCACCCAAAACAGAAAAUGAAGAGUAGACCUUCCAUAGUCCCCCAUCCAGCCCCUCUUCUCCCCCCCAUCCAGCUCCAGUACAGAAUCAGGACCAGGAAGAGAAAACAGAAAGAGCAGCAGCAGCAGAAUCUACUGAUGAGACUGGAACCAAUCAGAGAGCAGGAGCCCAGAGGCAGAGAGAGGAGGGGGAGGGGGAGGGGGAGGGGCAGGAUGGAGGUAGUGAUGGGGGCGGAGCUCAGCCCAGUGGGGCAGGAGGGGGAGGAGCUGAGAACCCAACAGCAGAUCCAGCCCAGGAGCUCCCCAGCAGCUCAGAGGAAGAGGAGGAUAUUCUGAGAUGGGGUCCAGACACCGAUGGGGGGGCAGCCCAGUGUAGUGAGGCAGGAGGGGGAGGGGACGAAAGUGUCCCAAAACCAGAUUCAGAUCAGGAUAUAGACCCUACAUCAGCAGAGGAAAAUCUAAGUGUCCCGUCCACUGAGCCAUUAAGCACAGCUGAUCCAGCCCAGGGACUCCCAGACACCACAGCCCGUUCCCCCCCUCACACUGGGGCAAGUGAGGAGUCCUGCUGUGCAGAGGAAAGCCCAACAUCAGGCCCAAAUCUGGAGCCCAACAGCACCUCUGAGGCAGAGGAAGAGAAGAAGAGAGGGAGAGAGGAGAGGACGGAGUCACAGGACAGAGGGGUGAAGUCCCUCCCAGAAAAGCCCCCGAAACCCUACAGCCCCUAUAAAGCCCCUAAACCCCUACAGCCCCUAAAACACCCCUAUACCAUUGAGCAGGACUGUCCCAGAGCACACAGGAGGGAGAGACACAGGACAGUGGGACACUGAGUCACAUGACCACAGGAUGAAAAGACUGCAGACACAGGAAAAGCAGCUCCUAAGCCUGAGAACACAGGAGAUCAUUUAAACUCUGAGCGGUGCUACAGUGCGUAAGACACAAGCAUAUUUUUUAAUGGGUGUAAAUUGUAUGAAUUUAACCAGAUCCCUUCCUCUUUUUAAUUUACUUUGUUUGCUUUAUACAUCUGCUCCUGGGAUGUGUUUUGUGUUCUGUGUGUGUGUGUGUUAGUAAAUCUGCAUCUGUCAUAUGAAGUUCUAAUUAAUAUCAAAUUCAUACCCUGUAAUUCCUGCAAUAUUUGGUGUCUAAUUUCCAUGUAAAUGGUAGAUAAAUUCUUGAUGAAAGUCUGUUAUCUAAUCUAGCUAACUGGUGUUAUACCUUUGUUGGCUAGCAGCAGCAGCUAUAAUUUAUUUUCACUUUUUUAUCAGGGGAGCCAGUCGUAUUGCUGCCACACCCCACCAUGUUCUGUUCUGUAUUUAACUCCUUUUUGUCCCCGUCUCCCUCUCUCCUCCCUAGUGUCUCUCCCUCUGGUGUUCUACCCAGGGGUAUAAUUGCUAAAUUAAUGCAAUGAUUGGUUAAUUGAUUGUUUGAUUGUUUCCCUCAUGUGUAGCCCUAUACCACUUGGAUCCACACCUGUCAGCCACCUUACACUUUUGGCCAGCUAUGGAGGUGUUUCUGUGCUAAUCCUUCUCAAUUCUCUUUCAUGAUCUGUAGAUUAUAGUGUGUGAUGUGCACCAGUGCAGCCCCUGUCACUUUUAUAUACUGAAGCCCACAAUUAUGAAGAAAUGAAUCUAUGUAUUAGCAGAACCAGU